rnacentral:tRNA from 1 species
GAGGCUCUAGUAAACACAUUACAUAGCCCUGUCAGAGCUAAAUUAUAGGCCACCCCCUAUGGGCCUCC